UAAGUGCACUUUGGUGACAUAGA
rnacentral:siRNA from 1 species